GGACGGUUAGCUCAGUUGGCCAGAGCGCUUUCUUGACGUGAAAGAAGUCGCAGGUUCGAGUCCUGCACCGUCCA
rnacentral:tRNA from 1 species